CCCUCUUUUCCCUACCCGAUUCCCAGGCAGCCAGUGAUUUCCUUUCUUUCACUAGAUGAUAGUUUGUACUUCCUAGAUUUCAUGUAAAUGAAAUCAUAAAGUAUGAUGUUUUUUAGGCUUGCCUCUUUCAUGAAUCAUAGUUAUUUUUUGUAUAUCAACAGUUUAUUCCUUUUUAUUGCUAAAUAGCAUUUCAUUACAUGAGCAGAUAACAGUUUAUUUAUUCAUCUGUGGAUGAGCCUUUGGUUUGUUUCUUUUUUCAGCUAUCAUAAAAGGACUAUGGAUAUUUCUGAUAUAAGCCCUAGAAGUUGCCAAGAUAAUUUCCAAAUUAGUUUCAACAUUAUACAUUCACCAGAAAUGUAUGAGAGUUCCAGCUCUUCCAUAUCCUGGCCAAAUUUGAUACUUGAAGUCCUCUUAUGAAGCAUUACUGUUUUCUCAAAAAUCUGCCAUUAGCAUUGGAAGGAAUUGUAACUGAGCCCCCAUCUUGCCUGUGUCACUCUUGAAACCCAGCUGCCAUGCUAUGAGUAAGUCCAAUUAGCAAAAGUCCCUGAUAGAGAGGAUUUGAGGCCUGCUGACAGCCUUGACUGAGAUUUCAGCCAACACCCAAUAUCAAUUUUGCUAACCGGCCUUAACUUUCUCUAGGAAUGAUCUUACAUCCAUGGAUGUGACUGUCUGAGCAAGUGGAAGAAGCCAUGGUAUAACACAGAUUAAAUUAUCUCAGUGAUGAUGGUAAUCAUUUCCAAAAGAAGGUAGUGGUCCUCUUCCCUGAACUGUAAGAACUGUGAUUUCAUGCACUCCAAGUUGAGAACCCCUGCAGGAUCCUGAGUUGACUAAAUCCUAAUCAGUACGGCAGUCAAAGAUUCCGUAGUGCCUGGCCAUUGUAUGGAAAGAUCAGUCUUCUCAAGGUUAUUAAAAUCUCCCAUAAUAUAUUCACUGUGUACUUACAUGAAUACAAUGAUGUCAACUAAAAUACAAUUUAUUUCAAAUUUUUAAUUUUGUGUUGUCUAUUAAGUAUGCUUACAUUUUUAUGUCAACAUGGUUUCACUUUUUAUGUUAGAAAAUGCUAAGCAAUAAAUGCUACAGCUGAAUGUUGAAAGGUAUUAGUGUUGCUUGAAGCUCACCAAAUAAACACCCAGAUACUCCACGGGUAUAGCCCAGUCCUGACCUUCAGUGGAUAGGAAACUAUUCAGUGAAAUGUAAUGCACAGUACUGGAUUAUGGUCAGUGGAAUUUUUCAAAAUAAAUUAUCCAUAUCUGUAUUACUUGAUUCGGCUUGACUCCUCUUUUAACUAAAGUAUGUUUUAACUGUUUUUUUUCUUUUUUCUUUUUUUUUUUUUUGAGACAGAGACUCCCUCUGUCGCACAGGCUGGAAUGGAGUGCAGUGGCACGAUCGCGGCUCACUGCAAGCUCCGCCUCCGGGGUUCACACCAUUCUCCUGCCUCAGCCUCCCAAGUAGCUGGGACUACAGGAGCCCGCCACUACACCCGGCUAAUUUUUUGUAUUUUUAGUGGAGACGGGGUUUCACCGGGUUAGCCAGGAUGGUCUCGAUCUCCCGACCUCGUCAUCUGCCCGCCUCAGCCUCCCAAAGUGCUGGGAUUACAGGCGUGAGCCACCACGCCCGGCCCAACUAUUUUUUAUUAAUUACUGGCAAACUCCUAUUUUCCAGCCACUUCUGUUAUUCUUAUAAAACACUUUUACACUAUUUACAAAUGUGCAUUAAUACAAAAUUAUUGGUUUAUGCGAUUUCUCAAAAAAAUUUCAUCAUGUACCUCAAAGCUUAAGGUAGUUGGAGGUUCAAGUUCCAAUUAGAACUUAGUGCAAAUCCCUUCUGCAGAUACAAGUAUAGUAAAAUAAUUAUUGCCUGGGAAUUUCAGAAACCUUUUAUAGCUCCUGCUAUUGUCUUCUUGCCAAAAUGAACUAUCUGCUCAUUUAUUCUAAAUUAGAAUUGUGCAGUUAACAAAGAUCAAGAAGAUUAAAAACAUGGUGUGAAGCCAGUUUAGCAUAACAUUUAGUAUUUCCUUUUGUAAGUACUGCUCUCCUGUGCUUAGUUAAGUAUUAUUUAAGAUACUAUUGGAUCUUUAUAGAAUGUUCCCAUGAUUAAAAUUUAAUUUUGACACUACAACAUGUACAAAGUUCUGUCAAGUAUUAUUAAUGAUUAAACAAUGAGGAAAUAUGUUAUUACAGUGUGUUCAAUCUUUAAUGUCCAUUAAAUCCACUUGGUAAGUGUAAGUGGAAAUGAUACUAACUACAAUUCUCAUUCUCUAGUCCUUUACACAUUAUAAAGAAAUGAGGAUCUUACAAUACCAAUCAAUAAGUGAUGAAAAGAAACUGUGCGUGGUGGCUGAAAUUUGAAUGGGCCUUUCACAGAAAUCUUAUUAUUCUCCUACUAGGGACAGUGCAGAACAGACAUUCCACUUCCCGCUUUGUAAGCAAAUGCCUAGGCGUGUAGCACUGUGAUUAUAUUUCUAUCUUCGGCCUUAGAUCAUCUUCAGCAUCAGAGAGUUCUGAAAAUCCCAUUAAGAAGUCAUUUCAAGGAAACAUAAAUGUUCUUUGAAAUAAUCUUCAAUGCUUUUCUAAUUUUUUAUAUUAAUGUCUCCUGCAACCCUCUUCCCAGAAUGGGUAAUAAAUCCUCUUAUAUUUAUGCACAGAGAGAUAUGUAUAUACAGUUUAUUUACUUCCUGUUUUAAUUGCUGUCCUAACUAAAUACAACACAUGUAAUGCAAAUGUUUGCCAAACUUUGUAUGGGUUGUACUUAACAUGUAUAACACUGGCAUUUUAGCUGAACUGAUCGUGACAAAGCAUUCCUGAAUAAAAAUUACUUUUUUAGAAAGGAAACAGUUCUGUUGCAAAAUCAAGUUUUUACUUUUUCUUAUGGUUUUGUAGCCUAACGAAAAAUGAAUACAUGAUGAAAUGUAUCCCAAUUUCCUUCCACUUUUAAUUGAUCUUCAUAGGCUUGAGGGAAUUUGUCUUUAUAUUCAUCUCCCAGGGAGAAUUUCCACCAAAUUAUUUGAGUGAGUUAUCAUCAUUCAACUUUGCCUGGC
rnacentral:lncRNA from 1 species